AUUGAACGCUGGCGGAAUGCCUUACACAUGCAAGUCGAACGGCAGCACGGGAGCUUGCUCCUGGUGGCGAGUGGCGAACGGGUGAGUAAUACAUCGGAACGUACCCUGAAGUGGGGGAUAACGUAGCGAAAGUUACGCUAAUACCGCAUAUUCUGUGAGCAGGAAAGAGGGGGAUCGCAAGACCUCUUGCUUUAGGAGCGGCCGAUGUCGGAUUAGCUAGUUGGUGAGGUAAAGGCUCACCAAGGCGACGAUCCGUAGCGGGUCUGAGAGGAUGAUCCGCCACACUGGGACUGAGACACGGCCCAGACUCCUACGGGAGGCAGCAGUGGGGAAUUUUGGACAAUGGGCGCAAGCCUGAUCCAGCCAUGCCGCGUGAGUGAAGAAGGCC
rnacentral:rRNA from 1 species